UCCGACCAAAGCCAAAACCCUAGCCUUGCAGCGCCUCCGGAGGGCCUCCCAGUGGCCGCCGCCGCGCCGAGCUUGGAAGCCUCUCCCUGUCCGUUCUCUUACCUGCAGCUCUGGAGCCGGAGGCUCCGGAGACCCCGUCUCGCGCCCUCCCCGGAGGCGAGGAUCGACGAAGGACCCGCGGGGAGCGGUUCUAGGGGAAGCUGCGACGCUUCGUGCUCGGCGAGGACGGCGUCGUCGAGCGGUGGAGUGGAGGGAGAAGGAGGGUGUGUCGGUCGGGGUGACAGGGGAAACGGGGGGAGCGCCGGCGAUGCAGCUGUGACGCGUCUUAUGGAGAGAACGAUUUGGAGAUCGAAGACAGAGACAGUAGACUAAAAUCCCUGGGGGAAGGCAAAGGGUUGGUGUUGAUCAUUUUACCGAAGCAACACAGGGCAUCACCGACACUCGCAAACCCACCACCAGCUCUGCGAUUUCUCCUCACGUAACUCAAGACCUGGUUCGGGUCGUCUAAAUUAGGGUUAGGGGUCGAAGAAAACCUCCGACGACGGCAAACCGAGAAAGGAUGAGAGAGAAAGAGAAUGGAAAGGGAUGAGGACUUGCAGGAGAUCGCAGCUGGACCCCGAAGAAGAAGGAAGAAGGAAUAAGCAGGACAGAGACUCGCGCGCUUCAUCAGCUUGAUGCUGAUGAAUGUGAAAACUGCAGAGCUUUUUGCUUUAGGGUCUCUCUCUCCCCCUACCAAGGCAGACUGUAAUGGCACUCUUGACAGGUCUUCGAGAUUUCAGUCAGAGUCGAAUUCGGAAGUCAUACUCUGAAAACCGAACCGAACCGAAAAUUUGGGUUCGGUUCCGUUCAGUUCGGAAGAUUCUUCUAACAAUUCGGUUUAGUUCAGUUUUUGAAAAAAAUCGAACCGAACCGAAUUGUUGAUACCCUAGUUGAGACGACCCCUGAAAGCCUUAUAAUUUGUAAGAGUGUGAUGUGCACCUCCUCAUGAACACUAAUUGAGCGACCAUGGCUGCAAGCUCGAGACUCUAGUGGGUAUGGCUGCCAGCUUUGAGGCGAGCUCAUGCCGACCCACCUUGACAUGGUCAUCGCGAGCUUAGAGCUUGAGCUCAACUCUCAUCUAUAGCAGAUGCAAUGGACCCCCUCUCUCUCCCAUA